AUAUUACUCGAGGACUCUCUUCUUCCAUUAUAAUAUCCCAUAACCCUUCAAGUGCAGUUUCAGGUAAGGGUUCUUUGGCGUAGUCCGACUUGGCUUUGAAG